AACCCUGACAGGGUUUGGAACCCUGUCAGGGUUUGGAACCCUGUCAGGGUUUGGAACCCUGUCAGGGUUUGGAACCCUGUCAGGGUUA
rnacentral:tRNA from 1 species